rnacentral:lncRNA from 1 species
CCAUUACCACAUAAAAUGAAGAGUUGAACUGGAAAUUUUUCAAGUGUGAAUCAUAAUUUGUACACAAUUCAGAUACACACACAAGCUUCAUAAAAUUUUCAGGUGUCAGCGAGGCCUUCUUAGGCUUGUUCCUAAAGUUGGAGAAUACAUGGUUACUGCCUCCAAUAGAUAUAUCAGAUGAUAAGAAUUGUAAAUGGAGUACCGAAGAAUGGUUAUAAAAGAGACCUCUCAGCAUUCUGUAUUUGAUACACAAAAACCUGGGUGUGCAGUGUAAUUUUGAGAGGUACUGUGCAACAUGUCAAUAACAUUAAAC